GAUAGUUUAAUUGAUCUUUUUGUAUCGUAGUAAAAUUAGAUCAAUAAAAUACAUCCAAUUACAAACAAAAUGUACAUUUAAAUCGUUCAUGAAAACGAUACUUUCAAUAAUCGAUCAAAUAUUCGAUAUAUUAUCGAACAUAACCUAUUAUAUCGAAACACUCUUCUAACGUAUGUUAUCAUCUGUGACAAUUUAGGCUAAUUUAAAGUAUCAAAUUCAUUCAUAUUUGAAUCAUUUGUUGAAAAUUAAUAUACAUAUUAUUAUUAUUAUUAUUAUACAAAAUGUCAAGAACAGUUAACAGUAUAAUAACUAACAGAGAUCGAGAUUGUUUGGCUUGCAGAAUUAUUAGUGGUGGUGGUUUGAUUGGAUCAGGUCUUUAUGUUUCUUAUAAUAGUAAGAAAUUACAAAAAACUAAAGGAAAAGCAGUGAUGUAUACUAUAGCAAGUGGGCUGGUAUUAUUGGGAACAGCUAGGAUACUAAAUCUACCACCGUUUCGAGACCAAUUUACUAAUCAUAAUUAAACAAUAUUUAAAUAUAAUUGAAACAAUAUAAGAACAAUAUGUAUUAACACAUACAGGAUUAUAAUAAUGCUAUACUUAACAGAGAGAUACUUUCAUAAAAUAUUACUUUCUUUCCUACUGUAGUAUUAUAUUGUACUAACCAGGAGAGGCUCAGAAGUGUAAACCACAAAUUUCUUUUCAAAUUUUGUACACUUGUAAUAGUCUAUGUCUCCUUGUUAGAAAAAUUUCCUGAUAUUAAGAGAACAAUCAUAAAACUUUCAAUGGAUUAUAAGACAUCAGGAAUUUAAAAAAACAACGUACUAGAUUUUCUGUAUGUUUACAGAUUUGAGGUUUACACUUCUAAGCUUCUCCUGGUAAGUAAAUUUUUAUAUUGCAUUCAAUUAAAAUUAAUGAAAAGAAUAAAUAGUGUAAUAGAAAUUCAAGAAAAUAAAAAUCUAAUUAAUUGACAAGUAGGAUUUAGUAAUAAAAUUAAAUAAAAAAGGCAUUUAAGUAUUUUCCUUCGACUUGUUAAUGGUUUUUUUUAUUGCUGUCAACAUAGGAAUAAUACAUCAACGUGCGUUAACGUUUUAUAAAGGUGCAAUCAUUUAAUUUAAGAAACAAAAAAAUGAAAUAAACACAUUUAUAAAAACAUCAAUUUCUCUUUUUAAUGUCAUGGGAGAAUAUAUAUAUAUUGUGUUGUAUAGUUGAAGGAUUAUUUUGUAUAGUUUUUUCAAUUU